rnacentral:misc_RNA from 1 species
AAAGUCGUAACAAGGUUUCCGUAGGUGAACCUGCGGAAGGAUCAUUAUUGAUUUGAAGCAAGCCCUUUUCUUUUUAAAAAAGUGGUUUGCGAAUAUAUUUAAAACCCCCACUCUUUAAAAUAAAAAUUUUCAUAUCUUUAUGAAUAAAAAAAGAUCACUUUCAACAACGGAUCUCUUGGCUCUC